AUGACUUGCUGGCUAGAAAGUCAGGUCUUUGGUUCUGGAUUUUGUUCCCACGAUGGACAUACCUUGUGACUGGCUCCUGCAUAUGAAAGAGUCUUCCAACGGCUACUGGUCACUUUGAGACUGUCUUCAGGACCACACUGCAGCCCUCACUUCCCGUUUAGAAGAAUGUGGAGACCCUGAAUACCGACUUGUCUUGUCUGUGGAGCAUUCUGACUUUGGUGAAGGAACAAAGACACAACAGGAGCCAGGAUACAGAGAGAGGCUCAGCUGAGGGAGAUGGGAGAUGGGAAUGCAUCCCAAGGCAGAGUCACGCCCAAGCAGCCCUUACCCCCACGAUGGCCUUCAGCUCCUCAUGCCCGUCCCAGUCACUGCUGUAGACCUCCUGCAGGGUCUCUGACACUCGCUUUGAACUUUCAUGCAUCACUGAAAGGAGAGAACUCAGUCCUACCACCAAGUGUCUCAAAAAGCAAUGAUGUAAUCCCACGGUGACAAGCCACAAGGAUGGGUUCUCAGUAAGAGAAGCUGGGUGGGGCUGGAAUAGGAA